rnacentral:lncRNA from 1 species
UGCCCAAUCCUGCUUCCUUCCCUUCCCUUCCAAGAGUAUUCCCUCCUCAGCUUCCUGCAUGCCAAUCUGACCCUUAAAGUUAGCUUCCAAGCUGCCAUAGCCACGGUCAGGUAACCUAGGAUGGUGAGAAAAAGGUUUUGCUCUUUUGGUUUCCAAGCAAUUAGAUGCUUCCAUGUCACCUAGUUACCUAGAGUAGUUGGCCUACGUGAAAGGAAGAGAAGUCAUCCCUCAAAAAGUGUCAAGAUUGAGAUAUGUGGAGACAACUGGAGAAAUUCAUUUGACUAUCUUUCAAAUUGGUACAAUCAUAGGAUUGACUGGGAAUUUGCAAACAUUGGUGCAAGGCUAUCCUGUAGCUUUCUAUCUAUUUUCCUCGCUAACAAAUCCUCAAAUUGCUUCAAAAGCAAACUGC